GGUAAUCUCUUCAUUUUUUUUCAAUAUUUUCGUUUUGACUAUGUAAAUCUUUAUUAAACUUGUUCAUAGAUUUAGUCUUACUUCAAAUUUCAUUGUUUUUUGCGGCGUGCGAGGCAAAGUUUUGCUGUUUUUCGCCGUCCGAUAAAAGAAGCAGAUUAUACCAGAGAAAGAAUCAGGUAUUUUCCGUCUGUUUUAUUAAUACUUUUCAAAGAAUAAGUUGUAACAUUGAUUAAAUUUUGUUUCAGUUGUAAUAUAAUAGCAAGUUUUCGAUUUUAACUUUAAAAAUAUGAAAGUAAAUGUCGGGCAAAAUUUGUAGAAAUUUUAUGUUAUUAUCCUUUGACAAAAUCGUUUUUUCUCGCACGAAGUCUAAAAAAAUCUGGGUAGAAAGAGUUAUAUUUUAGUUUGUUAAGUUAUACUGGCUAUUUUAUUUGCAUCUUGAUCAGAUUUUAAAGUCUAGAUUGAUCUUUUCCAUAUGUUUGUCCCAUCGCAUGCUAAAACAACAACGAAAUAUCUCUCCAAAGCGGGUAAAAAUAUAGUGGGAAAUCGAUGUUUAGAUAAAUUUAACAAAUAUUUAUAUAACCUAGCACGAAAUAUUAAGAAAAGAUCAAAGAGAUUCAAGAAAAAACACUUUAAAAACCCUAAAAUUCACUUUUCGC